rnacentral:pre_miRNA from 1 species
AGUCUUCUGUAUCCAUGCUGGGAUUUCGUCACACUCCAGACCGCAAGGACUGAUGAGACUCCCUAGAUAAGUGAAGCU